UACUUGGUUGAUCCUGCCAGUAGAAUAUGCUUGUCUCAAAGAUUAAGCCAUGUGUGCCUAGUACGCAUGGCUAGGACAGUCAAACUGUGAAUGGCUCAUUAAAUCAGUUAUGGUGCCUUUGGUCGCUCGCUCCUCUCCUACUUGGAUAACUGUGGUAAUUAUAGAGCUAAUACAUGUCAAUGGGGCUGAGCCCCUUCGCAGGGGGUAUGCUUGCAUUUAUCAGAUCAAAACCAACCCGGGCUUUCUCUUUCGCCCCGGCCCGAGGCGGGUGCCUGUGGCUUUGGUGACUCUAGAUAACCUUGGGGUGAUCGCACCGCCCCCCCCUCCCGUGGCGGCCAUGAAGACCCAUUUGAACAUCUGCCCUAUUUUCGAUGGUUGUCACCGUGCCUACCAUGGUGACCACGGGAGACGGGGAAUCAGGGUUCAAUUCCGGAGAGGGAGCCUGAGAAAUGGCUACCACAUCCAAGGAAGGCAGCAGGCGCGCAAAUAACCCACUCCCGACCUGGGGAGGUAGUGACGAAAAAUAACAAUACAGGACUCUUUCCAGGCCCUGUAAUUGGAAUGAGUCCACUUUAAAUCCUUUCAUGAGGAUCCAUUGGAGGGCAAGUCUGGUGCCAGCAGCUGCGGUAAUUCCAGCUCCAAUAGCAUAUAUUAAAGUUGCUGCAGUUAAAAAGCUCAUAGUUGGCUCUUGGGAGCGAGCAUGCGGUCCACCCCCUGUACCCGCCCCUUGCCUCUCGGCGCACUCUUGAUGCUCUUAGCUGAGUGUCCCACGGAGCCCGAAGCGUUUACUUUGAAAAAAUUAGUAUUCAUAGCAGGCCCGAGCCGCCUGGAUACCGCAGCUAGGAAUAAUGGAAUAGGACCGCGGUUCUAUUUUGUUGGUUUUCGGAAUUGAGGUCAUGAUUAAGAGGGAUGACCGGGGGCAUUCGUAUUGCGCCGUUAGAGGUGAAAUUCUUGGACCUGCGCAAGACAGACCAAAGGGGAAGCAUUUGCCAAGAAUGUUUUCAUUAAUCAAGAAUGAAAGUCAGAGGUUCGAAGACGAUACCGUCGUAGUGCCAACCAUAAACGAUGCCGACUGGCGAUGCGGCGGCGUUAUUCCCAUGACCCGCCAGGCAGCUGCCAGGAAACCAGUUUUUGGGUUCCGGGGGAGUAUGG
rnacentral:ncRNA from 1 species